UAGGGAAUCUUCCGCAAUGGGCGAAAGCCUGACGGAGCAACGCCGCGUGAGUGAUGAAGGUCUUCGGAUCGUAAAACUCUGUUAUUAGGGAAGAACAAAUGUGUAAGUAACUAUGCACAUCUUGACGGUACCUAAUCAGAAAGCCACGGCUAACUACGUGCCAGCAGCCGCGGUAAUACGUAGGUGGCAAGCGUUAUCCGGAAUUAUUGGGCGUAAAGCGCGCGUAGGCGGUUUUUUAAGUCUGAUGUGAAAGCCCACGGCUCAACCGUGGAGGGGCAUUGGAAACUGGAAAACUUGAGUGCAGAAGAGGAAAGUGGAAUUCCAUGUGUAGCGGUGAAAUGCGCAGAGAGAUGGAGGAACACCAGUGGCGAAGGCGACUUUCUGGUCUGUAACUGACGCUGAUGUGCGAAAGCGUGGGGAUCAAACAGG
rnacentral:rRNA from 1 species